UACGUAGGGGGCAAGCGUUGUCCGGAAUUAUUGGGCGUAAAGAGCGCGUAGGCGGUCCGAUAAGUCGGCUGUGAAAGUCAGGGGCUCAACCCUUGGAAGCCGGCCGAUACUGUCGGACUAGAGUCCGGAAGAGGCGAGUGGAAUUCCCGGUGUAGCGGUGGAAUGCGCAGAUAUCAGGAGGAACACCAAUAGCGAAGGCAGCUCGCUGGGACGGUAUUGACGCUAAGGCGCGAAAGCGUGGGGAGCAAACAGG
rnacentral:rRNA from 1 species